AAAGACUUAGGUUAAAUGACCAAGAGCCUUCAAAGCUCUAAGUAGGAGUGAAAACCCCCUAGUCUUUG
rnacentral:tRNA from 1 species